rnacentral:rRNA from 1 species
AGAGUUUGAUCCUGGCUCAGGACGAACGCUGGCGGCGUGCCUAAUACAUGCAAGUAGAACGCUGAAGAGAGGAGCUUGCUCUUCUUGGAUGAGUUGCGAACGGGUGAGUAACGCGUAGGUAACCUGCCUUGUAGCGGGGGAUAACUAUUGGAAACGAUAGCUAAUACCGCAUAACAAUGGAUGACACAUGUCAUUUAUUUGAAAGGGGCAAUUGCUCCACUACAAGAUGGACCUGCGUUGUAUUAGCUAGUAGGUGAGGUAACGGCUCACCUAGGCGACGAUACAUAGCCGACCUGAGAGGGUGAUCGGCCACACUGGGACUGAGACACGGCCCAGACUCCUACGGGAGGCAGCAGUAGGGAAUCUUCGGCAAUGGGGGCAACCCUGACCGAGCAACGCCGCGUGAGUGAAGAAGGUUUUCGGAUCGUAAAGCUCUGUUGUAAGUCAAGAACGGGUGUGAGAGUGGAAAGUUCACACUGUGACGGUAGCUUACCAGAAAGGGACGGCUAACUACGUGCCAGCAGCCGCGGUAAUACGUAGGUCCCGAGCGUUGUCCGGAUUUAUUGGGCGUAAAGCGAGCGCAGGCGGUUUGAUAAGUCUGAAGUUAAAGGCUGUGGCUCAACCAUAGUUCGCUUUGGAAACUGUCAAACUUGAGUGCAGAAGGGGAGAGUGGAAUUCCAUGUGUAGCGGUGAAAUGCGUAGAUAUAUGGAGGAACACCGGUGGCGAAAGCGGCUCUCUGGUCUGUAACUGACGCUGAGGCUCGAAAGCGUGGGGAGCGAACAGGAUUAGAUACCCUGGUAGUCCACGCCGUAAACG